GUCGAACGCUGGCGGCGUGCUUAACACAUGCAAGUCGAACGAAGUGGCGAACGGGUGAGUAACGCGUAAUCAACCUGCCCUUCAGAGGGGUACAACAGUUGGAAACGACUGCUAAUACCGCAUACUGAAGGAGGGGAUUUCGUCUGAUUAGCUAGUUGGGGGGGUUACGGCCCACCAAGGCGAUGAUCAGUAGCCGGGCUGAGGGGAUGAACGGGCACAUUGGGACUGAGAAAAGGCCCAGACUCCUACGGGGAGCAGCAGUUGGGAAACUUCCGAAAUGGACGAAAGUCUGACGGAGCAACGCCGCGGGGGUGAAGACGGCCAUCGGGUUGUAAAGCUAUGUUAAUCGGGAAGCGGUACCGGAAUAGAAAGCCACGGCUAACUACGUGCCAGCCGCCGCGGUAAUUC
rnacentral:rRNA from 1 species